rnacentral:rRNA from 1 species
AUGCAUUGCGCAAGUGCCAAUUGGGUAUCAACCAGCAGAAGUUCAGAAGUAGCUGGGGCACAAGUCCGGAGGAUCUCAUCUGAGACAUGCAGAUCCAGCCAGUUGGAUGGGGGCGACGGACCUGAGGGGAGGAAAGGGAAGCCGGAGCCCGCAACGCGCCCAUGUUUGAGCACAGGAAGGAAAGCACCACCGAUGUGUGGAACCAGGGGGCCGUCGGCGGGUGCGGCCAGCGGUGGCUGCUGCGGCUUGGAGGAGCACAGAAGAGUGACGGCGGCCUCAAGAACGGCUGGAGAAAACUCAGCUAGGACCUGCGAGACGUCGGCAUCGUGCUCGCCGGCCAGGUGGAGCUACGUGGGAAGUCCAACUGGCGCCGGCAUCGGUUGGGUUGAGGGACGGGGACAGGAUCCAGAGAACGGGGCAGGGGACGGCAGCAACGCGAUCUCCAUUGAGGGAUGGGGGCGGCGGCGCGAUUCAGGCGAAGGACGGUGGCGGCUGUGCGAUCCGCGGCGACGGGCGGUGGUCGGGUGGUCGUCGGCGCCGGACGGGGGUCGGGUUGAGGGAUGGCGGCAGGAUCCAGAGAACGGGUCGGGGGUGGCGCGCUGGGGCCGACGGGCCGGCCGCGGGAGCCGCGCCGGAGUCAGGACGCAGCGGCGGGAGGUGGUCGGUGGAUCCGAAAAGAGGCGAUGCGGUGCGGGAGGAGGGUUGGGAUCUUCCAUGCUACUGAAGUUUGAGCACACUUCCAUGGUGUUCUCAAACUUGGUGCGGUCACCCAGCGAGCACCCUAGGAAGAAAGCCCUCCAUCCAAUGCCCCAUGAGUUCAUGGCGUUGGGUUGGAGGAAGAGCGAGAGACAGAGAGGUGGUGGAUCAACACGGAGAACAAGGGGAAGGAGGUGGUGGCAUCAAAGACCCCCCGGUGGCAAGCACCGGAACUACGAGCACUAUCAUGAGGUGGGUGGGCCAACCACCUUCUGCAAGGUGAUCACGGCCCCCCAGCUAGAGGCCAUACCUGUGCCCCUUGACUUCACAAAGGCCGCUGUCCGGCUGUUGAACGGCAGGGUCACCCUCGAUCAUGGUUGGGCCAUCUUCGCUGUCGUCCAUCAGAUCAAGAUAGGCUUCAUGGUGACCUUCAAGCUGCUGACUCCCGACAUGUUGAAGGUCAUCGUCUUCAAUGACGAUGACAUUGAAGUGGUGACCAGGUGCAGGAGGCACGUCGACACCAACCAAACAGCGUGCUUAUGUAGACCAACUAGUUUUGGGAUCCUUCUAGGAGAAACGUCCGGUUGUGACGAGGGGAGUGCCUUCGACCAGGUUACCCAAGGGCGCCACCAGUGGGGUAUGCAAAGAUUCAUGUGGAGGCCGAAGUUACAUCAACUAGAGGAGGGUCGGCAGCAGUUGUAUGCCGAGACAUAG